rnacentral:lncRNA from 1 species
AUGUACGUUGGUUUCUACAGUGCCUAUUUGUCCAUCAGGAAGUAUGUGAAGUUGCUGCCUGACCUGUAUAAUCGGAGAUUAUCAGAGCUGGACAGGAUCAUAAAGACUACCUGGGCACACAUGUUGUUUAUUGAAGAACUUCUGCUCCAAUGUCCUCAGCAGCGCUGCUCAAUUAUCUCUUUCUUCUUCAGUCUCUCUAAGGAGUCUCCACCAGUGGAGGAAGAUGUUGGAUGUCAGCAGCGGUGGAGCACCAUGGUGGGAGAAUCUGCUUCUCCUGGCUCCAUCAAAGGAUGCAGACCCAUGGGAACCACUCAGACUUCUCUGAGCCACAAGCCUCGAGGUCACAGAGGCAUGCAGGAAAGUGAGAGGAAGUGGAAACAUGCGAGCAGAGGGCUCAAAGCAGCGUGCUCACCACCAGAAAAAUAAAAAUAAAAAUGAACACAUUCAGAA